rnacentral:rRNA from 1 species
GUAAGGAAUCUUAGACAAUGGGGGCAACCCUGAUCUAGCCAUGCCGCGUGAUCGAUGAAGGCCUUAGGGUUGUAAAGAUCUUUCAGCUGGGAAGAUAAUGACGGUACCAGCAGAAGAAGCCCCGGCUAACUCCGUGCCAGCAGCCGCGGUAAUACGGAGGGGGCUAGCGUUGUUCGGAAUUACUGGGCGUAAAGCGCACGUAGGCGGAUUGGAAAGUUGGGGGUGAAAUCCCGGGGCUCAACCCCGGAACUGCCUUCAAAACUCCCAGUCUUGAGGUCGAGAGAGGUGAGUUGAAUUCUGAGUGUAGAGGUGAAAUUCGUAGAUAUUCGGAGGAACACCAGUAGCGAAGGCGGCUCACUGGCUCGAUACUGACGCUGAGGUGCGAAAGCGUGGGGAGCAAACAGGAUUAGAAACCCUGGUAGUCC